CAUGUCUUUUUGAUAAUAAUUUAAAGUCCGACCUGCCCUAUGAAGUAGAUUUAAAUGGCCGCGAUAUUCUGAUCGUGCAAAGGUAGCAUAAUAAUUAGUUUUUUAAUUAAGAACUGGAAUGAAUGGUCAUACGAGAAAAAGACUGUCUCAAUUUAAUUUAAAUUAGAAUUUUAUUUUUAAGUCAGAAAGCUUAAAUAAAUUUAAAAGACGAGAAGACCCUAUAGAGUUUUAUAUAUUUAUAUUAUUUUAUAAAUUAAGGGAUUAUAUCUUUAAUUUAAUUUAAAUGUAUUUGAUUGGGGUGAUUUAAAAAUUAAAUAAACUUUUUAUAAAUAAAAUCAUUAAUUUAUGAUUUAAUUGAGCCAUUUUUAUAUGAUUAUAAGAUUAAAUUACCUUAGGGAUAACAGCGUAAUUUUUUUUGAGAGUUCUUAUCGAAAAAAAAGUUUGCGACC
rnacentral:rRNA from 1 species